rnacentral:rRNA from 1 species
UACGGGGGUGCAAGCGUUGUUCGGAAUCAUUGGGCGUAAAGAGCGUGUAGGCGGCUGAGCAAGUCAGAUGUGAAAUCCCUGGGCUUAACCCAGGAAGUGCAUUUGAAACUGUUCAGCUUGAGUAAGGAAGAGGGAAGUGGAAUUCCUGGUGUAGAGGUGAAAUUCGUAGAUAUCAGGAGGAACACCGGUGGCGAAGGCGACUUCCUGGUCCUAUACUGACGCUGAGACGCGAGAGCGUGUGGAGCAAACAGGAUUAGAUA